UGUUAACUAGUUGUGUCUAAAUGUUGUUAACUAGUUUUGUCUAAAUGUUGUUAACUACUCCUUAAAUCAAAAUACUAUUUCUGAAAUUUGAGUUGAAUUGAAGUAUUAGAUAGAAAAAAAUAAGAAUGAAUGAAUUUUAGCUGAUAAGAAAUGUAUAUAAGCAUUGAAGAUUACUAUAUCUGCCAUUUUUUAUCAAUAAAAAGAGCUAAAAUUUAUCUGGAGUACUUGGCUUCAUAUUAAAUGUUCUACAGACAUUUAAAACAGUAUCAACAGUUGAAAUAAAAAUAUUUGAUAUACAUGGAACAAGUAGCUAGAUAAUAUUCAAACCACUGUGAAAUAUGUUGAUGAAAGAUUUCAAAAAAUCAUCAAGACUUGUAGAAGCAAAAACUCUUUUAGUACUUGAUAAACAUAGUAAACUAGAAGAAAUUGAUAAAAUUACAAUUAACGCAGUGAGUCUUAUUAAGAAUGUUAAAGCAAAUGAAGUGAAACUUAAGGUCAAGCAACUCAUUAUUAAUUGGGAGACACAAAUAGAGAUCUUGUAUUGAAUACCACCACAGAAGAUUUAAAUAAUUCUUCGCAUGAAGUUUAUACUCAAGGAUCAUGUAGCAGAAUUUUAUUCUUUAAAGAGGCUGCUUUGUUGGUUAAUAAUAAAUACAUAUCCUGGAAUGUAAGAAUGAUGGUCUUUGGAAAAAGAGAGCUGUAUAAUGGUAUGCAAAUGGUCUAUAGUUCUGUUUGUAGAUUACGUAUUUUUAUGGAAGAUCUUUUACUUAAACUUGAAGUAUCAACAACGACACCAUUGAAUGGUUCUUCUCGUUGCUGCAAACUUUGAUAAAUAAAUAAUACAAAAAUUUUAACGCAGACGUCCCAUAGAAGAAAAAAAACAUUAAUGAUGCGUUUAAUCAUAGGCUUGAAAAUUCAGUUUUUAGAGAAUCUAAGUCUAGGCUGCAUUUUGACAGGGAUCAUCCCAGAAAAUAUUCUUUGGUCAACCAAAAAAAUUAAAGAUUCAUUCGCUACAAAAUGAGUCUCCAUGAGUAGUGUAGAGUUUACAUUUUGAGUACCUCGCCUCAUGUUUAUAUUACAGAGUUAACAAUUCCAUCUCUAGGAGAAAAUACUGAGUUUUCAUUAAAACAAGAAAGAUAGUAAUUCUUCUCUUUCACUUUUGACAAUUUGUUGGAUGCUACAGAUAAUGUUAAUUUUUUAAUUCUAUGUAUAACAAUAUGUAUGUAGAUGUAUUUUUUAGUGCACAAAAAAUUCGUAUAAAAUUAUGUAUAUUAUUUUGAGUAUGAGCAAACUACAUGAAACUAACAUUAACAAUUCUCAUGCCUUUGCAUGAUUUUUAGUAAAGACAGUUUAGAAAAUUGUCACCAAAACAUGUAUGUAAAAAUAUGAAUUAAUUAAUAGAAGAAUAAAUUGUUGUAUUUAUUACUUUCAUAAAGUAUGCACAUAAUUCACA